rnacentral:rRNA from 1 species
GUUCAGUACUUGAUCCUGGCUGGAUCACCUCCUUAAGCUUGGAUUCCCGGGACCACCGAAAGAAAAAGAGUGGCGAACGGGUGAGUAACACGUGGGUAACCUGCCCAUCAGAAGGGGAUAACACUUGGAAACAGGUGCUAAUACCGUAUAACACUAUUUUCCGCAUGGAAGAAAGUUGAAAGGCGCUUUUGCGUCACUGAUGGAUGGACCCGCGGUGCAUUAGCUAGUUGGUGAGGUAACGGCUCACCAAGGCAACGAUGCAUAGCCGACCUGAGAGGGUGAUCGGCCACACUGGGACUGAGACACGGCCCAGACUCCUACGGGAGGCAGCAGUAGGGAAUCUUCGGCAAUGGACGAAAGUCUGACCGAGCAACGCCGCGUGAGUGAAGAAGGUUUUCGGAUCGUAAAACUCUGUUGUUAGAGAAGAACAAGGAUGAGAGUAAAAUGUUCAUCCCUUGACGGUAUCUAACCAGAAAGCCACGGCUAACUACGUGCCAGCAGCCGCGGUAAUACGUAGGUGGCAAGCGUUGUCCGGAUUUAUUGGGCGUAAAGCGAGCGCAGGCGGUUUCUUAAGUCUGAUGUGAAAGCCCCCGGCUCAACCGGGGAGGGUCAUUGGAAACUGGGAGACUUGAGUGCAGAGAGGAGAGUGGAAUUCCAUGUGUAGCGGUGAAAUGCGUAGAUAUAUGGAGGACCACCAGUGGCGAGGCGCUCUCUGGUCUGUAACUGACGCUGAGCUCGAAAGGCGUGCGGAGGCGACAGGAUAGAUACCUGUAGUCCACGGCCGUAACGAUGAUGCUAGUGUGAGGUUUCCGCCCUCAUGCUGCAGCCAACGCAUAAGCACUCCCGCCUGGGGGAGUACGACCGCAGCUGAAACUCAGGAUUGACGGUACCGCACGGUGGACAUGGGUAUUCGAAGCAACGGCGGUA